UGCAAAGGACUUUAAAUGUUCCCAGGCAAUUGGUGUUAAAAGGUCUUCGGGAAUACAGUCUUAAAAUGCCAAGCAUAUUGAGUAGGUUCGGAAAAGGAAAGUUUAAAAAAAUUAUUCGUGAGGAAGACUUGAACGAACAUAAUGAUGCACGCAUCUUGAUACGUGAGGAAGAGGAAGAAGUUGAAGCGAAAUGCUUUGGCACGGUGAAUAAGUGGGAUGUGCUUAAGUGUUUUGUCUUCUUGCUUUAUCUUGUGGUGUUCUUUUUUUUGGCAAGAUAUGUUGAUAUUUGGAAGUGUAUCCCUUAGAUGAUGCCUGAUCAACACGAGCAGUAGUCAACAAGUAGAUUUUUAGUUUUUAGUUAUGCUUAGUAGUUCAACAUGUUAGUUACGCUUUUUUUACAUUUUAUAAUAAAAUAAAAUGCCUUUAAAUAUAUAAGGGUUUCUAAUAAAAAA
rnacentral:misc_RNA from 1 species